rnacentral:rRNA from 1 species
AAUAUUGGACAAUGGGCGAAAGCCUGAUCCAGCCAUGCCGCGUGUGUGAAGAAGGUCUUCGGAUUGUACAUUACUUUAAGUUGGGAGGUAGGGGUUGAAGCUAAUACCUUCAAUCUUUGACGUUACCAACAGAAUAAGCACCGGCUAACUCUGUGCCAGCAGCCGCGGUAAUACAGAGGAUGCAAGCGUUAAUCGGAAUUACUGGGCGUAAAGCGCGCGUAAGUGGUUCAGUAAGAUGGAAAUGAAAUCCCCUGGCUUAACCUGGGAACUGCUUUCAUAACUGCAGAGCUAGAGUACGGUAGAGGGUAGUGGAAUUUCCUGUGUAGCGGUGAAAUGCGUAGAUAUAGGAAGGAACACCAGUGGCGAAGGCGACUACCUGGACUGAUACUGACACUGAGGUGCGAAAGCGUGGGGAGCAAACA